rnacentral:rRNA from 1 species
AUUGAACGCUGGCGGCAGGCCUAACACAUGCAAGUCGAACGAGUGGCGGACGGGUGAGUAAUGUCUGGGAAACUGCCCGCUGGAGGGGGAUAACUACUGGAAACGGUAGCUAAUACCGCAUACCAUCGGAUGUGCCCAGAUGGGCUUAGCUAGUAGGUGGGGUAACGGCUCACCUAGGCGACGAUCCCUAGCUGGUCUGAGAGGAUGACCAGACACAAUGGAACGUAGAAAAGGGCCAGACGCCCACGGGAGGGAGGAGGGGGGAAUAAUGCAAAAUGGGCGGAAGGCUGAAGGAGCCAUGCCGGGGGGAAGAAGGAGGCCGUUGGGGUGGAAAAGAACUUCAGGGAGGAGGAGGUACUCGAAGAAGAAGCAUCGGCUAACUCCGUGCCAGCAGCCGCGGUAAUUC